UCAAACUAAGACCAGUGGCCUGAUAUUGCCAACCGUUAGCGAAGACAAGCUGUGAAAAAAGAAAUUGGAAGUGAUUAGCAGGCUUGGGGACAGGAACUACUGUGUAUAGGCAAAAGAAGUCUCCUUCAGAGACAGGAAUACCUGUCCUGAAGAUUUGCAGACCCUCUUCCACUCUUUACCACUUUUACUAAACCUGUCACAAGCUGGACACACUCAUCGAGACAGUCCCUGUAGUCGAGUCCUUGGCCCUUGUAACCAGCAAGAGCUGAAAAAAGAAUUACCAGAGAUAAACCUGCUGAGUCCUUUCAAUGUGUAAGAAUCUGUUUUUCUUGGAUUGUAUGUAGGGCAGUCAGCCUGAGAGGGUCCUCAGAAACCCACACUGAUAGUUUCCAAUACUCAGCAUCUCCUGUACCACGGAACUGCUGAAGGUGUAUCAGCCAAGAUACAACAAUUAAAAAAUUUCAGGAAUGGCCAAGGAACCAACAACUGAGCAUCAGGCACUGAAUAUCCUUUGGAAAGCACAUCCUUUUUAGUUCACAGGUGGUGUGAGGAAGAACAAUUGACUUGAAAAUUACAGCAGUUCUGCAAUUUCUUCAAAUUGACAUAAAUCAAGGAAUAACUACUUAGAAUAACCAACUCCUUACACUAGGACAUGAUCAGAACUAGAAAAUUAUAUUGAAGCUGGGAAGAUGAAGAGAUGUUUGGAUAUGCUGAGAUCACACUUUUCAGCUGUAAGCACAGGAGUGCACAUUUUAACAAUGGAGCAGAUGCUUCCAAUUAUCUGCAAUAAGGAGAAGGGACACUUGAAAAAUCUGGCUGGUAUUAGGUGGCUGUCAGAAGGCUCUUGGGUAAGAAGAAAAGGAUGCAAAGUUCAGCAAAAUAAUUUUACUUUCAUAACACAUUAAUUUUAAGGCUGCUCUACAAGUUGAAAAACUUGUGUGUAUUCUGAUGACUAAAAGCAAAACAAUCAAACUGGAAAUUUUAAUGUAGAGUGUUUUCCUAUUUUAAACCAUGACAAACUUUACUCAUGAAAUAUUUCCUUUGAUGUUCUAUAAUCUUAAUCAAUUUUAAAUAGAUUUACAUGUUUAACUGUGCUUACUGCUUGCUCAUGUAGUGCUUAUAAAUGAACUGAAAAUAAGAUUCCCAUAGAAAGAGACAACUUGUAAAAUACAGAACUGUACAACAUAAAAGAGAAGAAAUGUUACAACAUAGAAGAAAUAUAAAUGUAGCCUUUUUAUUCACUCAUUUGCAAUUACUGCAUGUCACAUCCUGGGGCAUGUUUUUGAUUUGUUAUGUAUUUAGCAGGGUGAUGUUCAGGAAGGCUGAACUGCCUGCCCAAACCAUGCAUGUGCUGACAGGCAAAUUCAUGUCUUGUCAUUUGUUCCUUGGUCUGUACUAACUCAGGCUGCCUGCGCUCUCUGCUGAAGGCAUGACUGUUUUUUUUCUCCUGAGCCUCAUGAAAAAGACAAGAACCAUGGACAAUCCUUCUCUCCAGUGUGUCAAGCCUGUGUUCCAGACACACCUUCACACUUCCCCUCCACUCUGAUAGCUGGGCUAUCACAAUCUUGUCCACAUGGCACACCAAUGAGUGAGGUGCUACCAGAAGACACAAUGGUAAUUGCAGACAUGCUUUGGGUAAGGGUGCCCUGAACGAACCAACAUCAAGCUCAGGAUCUCCCCACAUUCACUUGUGCAGCCGAGCGCUUUGACCACAUCAGCAGCAUGAGCCAAAUGAUCCAACAAUGAAACCACAGUUGUGAGUUUGUUCUCCUGGGCAAUCCCAAAUGUGUUUUUGUUUGUGAGUUCCAGCACUCUUCUUUCUUCUUUGAUUAUCUGGGGAACUGGGGGAAAGUCAAUAAAAUUUGUGGUUUUAGCUUUGUUUCUUUUAAAAUGCAUCCAUCUUGGCUGUAGAGAAAAAAUGUUAUUUCAACUUGCCCCCACAAAAAUUAUGAGAAAAACACAUAAUAGAUAAAUUUCAUCAUAUACCUUUUAAACUCAUUGACAAUUGAGAUAAUAUUUUGCUGGUAAAAUAAAUAAUACCUUUUUAAAAGGUCCUCUCUCACUCCACUGGUUUUAGAAGUGAUUGCUAAUUUAUAUGAAGGACUUGCACACAGCAGAGCUUAUCCACACUUCAGAUGCACCUAAAAAUCCUGGAGGAAAGUGCUCUUUUCUUGGCAGUUAGUGCAAAACCUCAAAAACAAAUAACUGAAAUUUAUUUGAAAAUCAUUAUUUUGGAUUAUAUGCACUCAGUACUCUGUUUAUGGCAACACAUAAUAAUCAGGUGUUUUAUCUAAAAUUUUGUCUACAUAAAGGAGUGUUGAAAUUGAUUUAAGGUAACACAUUCUUCAUUCAGCAAACUUCUUAAUGAUUACUUUGGUUCAGAUAAUUGUUCUUACUCUUGGUGUUCUGCUAAGUUCCCCAGAUGAUUUGACAUUGGCCUUUCCUGGAUAAUUUGUGGUGCUCUGAAGAAAGAGUGGAUAAUUAAUUCUACAUUGCAAUUAGAUGCCUCAUUUCAUUCUUCCUCAAGAACCACAGGAAGCUGCUCUACACUGAUAGUGAGUUAAAGAAAUUCUGAGCAGCUGGAUAUCACCUCUUCCUCUUUGAGCUACUCAUCUGAUCCACUUUGGGCAACCCAAGGAAAGGAUGCCUCGUCUAUGGACUAUACUUUGUACAUUCUACACUUGACAAGGCCGAAAAAUGCAUAAAGAAAAUAAUUUGUUGCUGUUGGCUACCAUGUAAUGGUUACACAGUUGAUCCUGAGAGCUCAUGAGGUCAGCUAAAAUGGAUGAUGGUUUUGAUUAAAAUGAAUUGCCCACUGUGAAAACUCCUCCCACUGCACCACAAUCAAGGAGAAAGUUUCCAAAAUAAACAGGCUUCAGACCAAAUGCUGCGAAAGGAGAAACCUUUUUCUGCUAUAGCUACAGCUUCUCUCUCACUCUAAAGGAACACUUAUAGGCUAACAUAACACAGUUGAAUAACUCCUUAUAUAAUCUGUUAUCUCGUUCUCUGAAUUCAUUUGCUAUUAUAACUUAAUGGGAAAUUUAAAGUGAUAAUUCAGGAGUGAAUUUUCUAAGGUUUUCAUUUUAGCAAUGCUAAUAGUGAAUUUGGUGCAUGUUCUUUGGAAUGUCCUCAAGGUACUGCUUUGCAAGAAUACAGUCUGCUCAUCUGUGUUGGAGCUAAAUUGUAACAUAAACCGGAAGUUGCCAGCAAGUGUAAAAGGCCAUAUUAAGGAUCAUGCCAUUACGUAAAGAAAAUCAUCAAUGGAUGGGUUCCCACCCUUUUUUAGGAGGAAAGAAGGAAGGGAGGAAGGAAAGGAGGGAGGGAGAAAGAAAGAGAGAAGGAGAGAAAGAGAGAGAGAGAGAAAGAGAGUGAGAAAGAGAGAA